rnacentral:lncRNA from 1 species
UGAGAUACCAAUAAUUUCUCAUGGUUGAUAAUUUGAUUUUAGUGAAGCUUCUCAUUGUUUUCUGAAGCUUUAAACUUUGAGAUGUAAAAACAUGACUUUUGACUGUGUACUUUUAAAGAUACAUAUUUAUUUUUAAUAGGUCAGUCUCAUCAUUAAUCACUAAAAGAGCUAUUUAAAUGACUAAAAACCACAGCACUUGUCAGCCAUUACUUGUUUUUCAGCAAGCAUUUACACAGUAUUAGCUGAAAUAUUUGUAGGGAUUCACCAAGUACCUUGGGAUGUUGCAGUUAGCAUUUUUUUCUUACAGGUAUAAAAAGUGGAUUGUUGUUUUGAUGGUGGUGGGUUUUGUUUUUUUUUUUUUAAUCAAAGCUCUAGUGUAUUAUUAGCAAACACUUAAAAAAUAUGUAAAUACCAGUACUGUGGAAAAUAAUUAGAUGACACAUAAACUGGAUUUAAAAUCCAUCUCAUCUGCCUAGAUUUUAUGUAAGUGAUAUAAUGAAGGUGCCUUAAAAUAUUUGAUACUUUCAAAUGUUUCUCAUGUUAUUUUCUUAUUUUCUAAAAAAGAUGUAUUCACUAAAUUAUAUACACUCAUAUAAUAAUUAAAUAUAAAAUACAUUCUUUUAUUGUGUACCUUUCUAUCUAGAAGGUAGCACAUUAUUACAGUGUUUCCUGCUGGUCAAAGUUGCCUAUUAGAGAAAUAGAAUGGUAAUUUUAAUAUAUUCACAAAAUACCUUAUUGAUAUCAUCAAACCAAUUUAUACAUUGAGUUUGUACCAACUAGUGGAAUUGUCUUAGGUCUAUUAAGUUAUGGAAUAUUAUAUCCAUAAUUACAGUCUGAGUCAUAGCUGAAAAAAUCUGCUUUAAAAUUAUUCUCACUCUUUGAACAUUUCAUAAUCUUACAUGUUUUCAAGCAAUUUGCCAUACUCUACUAACCUUUGU